AUUCCGGUUGAUCCUGCCGGAGGCCAUUGCUAUCGGAGUCCGAUUUAGCCAUGCUAGUCGCACGAGUUUAGACUCGUGGCGAAAAGCUCAGUGACACGUGGCCAAACUACCCUAUGGACGGAACUAACCUCGGGAAACUGAGGCUAAUGUCCGAUACGGCUCUCACGCUGGUACGCCGAGAGCCGGAAACGCCCCGGCGCCAUAGGAUGUGGCUGCGGCCGAUUAGGUUGACGGUGGGGUAACGGCCCACCGUGCCAAUAAUCGGUAUGGGUCAUGAGAGUGAGAACCCAGAGACGGUAUCUGAGACAAGAUACCGGGCCCUACGGGGCGCAGCAGGCGCGAAACCUUUACACUGCACGACAGUGCGAUAAGGGGACUCCGAGUGCGAGGGCAUACAGUCCUCGCUUUUCUGUACCGUAGGGUGGUACAGGAACAAGUGCUGGGCAAGACCGGUGCCAGCCGCCGCGGUAAUACCGGCAGCACGAGUGAUGGCCGAUAUUAUUGGGCCUAAAGCGUCCGUAGCU
rnacentral:rRNA from 1 species